rnacentral:misc_RNA from 1 species
GAUGAAGAACGCAGCGAAAUGCGAUAAGUAAUGUGAAUUGCAGAAUUCAGUGAAUCAUCGAAUCUUUGAACACAUCUUGCGCUCCUUGGUAUUCUGAGGAGCAUGCCUGUUUGAGUGUCAUUAAAUUCUCAACUACACUGACUUUGAAUUGGUGUGGCUUGGAUUUGGGGGGAAAAUUGUUGUGGGCUUUUUGUAUAGUCUGCUCCCCUGAAAUUGAUUAGCGGUACCUUUGUGGAACUGUCUACAGGUGUGAUAAUUAUCUACAUCUUAGACAUCUGCUGGAAUGCUGCUUUCUAAACCUUACUUGUAUUGACAAUCUUGACCUCAAAUCAGGUAGGACUACCCGCUGAACUUAAGCAUAUCAAUAAGCGGAGGA